UACAGAGGGUGCAAGCGUUAAUCGGAAUUACUGGGCGUAAAGGGCGUGUAGGCGGGAAGGCAAGUCGGGCGUGAAAUCCCCAGGCUCAACCUGGGAACUGCACUCGAAACUGCCUUUCUUGAGUGCCGGAGAGGAAAGCGGAAUUCCUGGUGUAGAGGUGAAAUUCGUAGAUAUCAGGAGGAACACCAGUGGCGAAGGCGGCUUUCUGGACGGUAACUGACGCUGAGACGCGAAAGCGUGGGGAGCAAACAGG
rnacentral:rRNA from 1 species